rnacentral:rRNA from 1 species
AAUCAACGCUGGCGGCGUGCCUCAGACAUGCAAGUCGAACGCGAAACCUUCCUUCGGGAGGGGAGUAGAGUGGCGCACGGGUGAGUAACACGUAGGUAAUUUGCCUUCGGGUGGGGAAGUAACAGCCGGAAACGGCUGCUAAUACCGCAUAAUGCAGCGGCUCGACAUCGAGACAGUUGUUAAAGCGGGGGAUUCGCAAGAACCUCGCGCCUGAAGAGAAGCCUGCGGCAGAUUAGCUAGUUGGUAGGGUAAUGGCCUACCAAGGCGACGAUCUGUAACCGGCCUGAGAGGGCGGUCGGUCACACUGACACUGACAUACGGGUCAGACUCCUACGGGAGGCAGCAGUCGGGAAUUUUGGGCAAUGGGCGAAAGCCUGACCCAGCAACGCCGCGUGAAGGAUGAAAUCCCUC